AGCUAGUUGGUGAGGUAACGGCUCACCAAGGCGACGAUGCGUAGCCGACCUGAGAGGGUGAUCGGCCACACUGGGACUGAGACACGGCCCAGACUCCUACGGGAGGCAGCAGUAGGGAAUCUUCCGCAAUGGACGAAAGUCUGACGGAGCAACGCCGCGUGAGUGAUGAAGGUUUUCGGAUCGUAAAGCUCUGUUGUUAGGGAAGAACAAGUGCCGUUCAAAUAGGGCGGCACCUUGACGGUACCUAACCAGAAAGCCACGGCUAACUACGUGCCAGCAGCCGCGGUAAUACGUAGGUGGCAAGCGUUGUCCGGAAUUAUUGGGCGUAAAGGGCUCGCAGGCGGUUUCUUAAGUCUGAUGUGAAAGCCCCCGGCUCAACCGGGGAGGGUCAUUGGAAACUGGGGAACUUGAGUGCAGAAGAGGAGAGUGGAAUUCCACGUGUAGCGGUGAAAUGCGUAGAGAUGUGGAGGAACACCAGUGGCGAAGGCGACUCUCUGGUCUGUAACUGACGCUGAGGAGCGAAAGCGUGGGGAGCGAACAGGAUUAGAUACCCUGGUAGUCCACGCCGUAAACGAUGAGUGCUAAGUGUUAGGGGGUUUCCGCCCCUUAGUGCUGCAGCUAACGCAUUAAGCACUCCGCCUGGGGAGUACGGUCGCAAGACUGAAACUCAAAGGAAUUGACGGGGGCCCGCACAAGCGGUGGAGCAUGUGGUUUAAUUCGAAGCAACGCGAAGAACCUUACCAGGUCUUGACAUCCUCUGACAAUCCUAGAGAUAGGACGUCCCCUUCGGGGGCAGAGUGACAGGUGGUGCAUGGUUGUCGUCAGCUCGUGUCGUGAGAUGUUGGGUUAAGUCCCGCAACGAGCGCAACCCUUGAUCUUAGUUGCCAGCAUUCAGUUGGGCACUCUAAGGUGACUGCCGGUGACAAACCGGAGGAAGGUGGGGAUGACGUCAAAUCAUCAUGCCCCUUAUGACCUGGGCUACACACGUGCUACAAUGGGACAGAACAAAGGGCAGCGAAACCGCGAGGUUAAGCCAAUCCCACAAAUCUGUUCUCAGUUCG
rnacentral:rRNA from 1 species